rnacentral:lncRNA from 1 species
AUCUCUUUAAAAACAGAUGCAGUAAAAGACCAAGGACAAAUCCAUAAGUUUUUGGUGGAUCAGUGACAAACAAACUACUCUCAAGAACCUUUGAGCUGUACACAGUUCAGCAACCGCAGAUCAUAUUCAGAUAGAAACAACCCGUAAUCUUGACCCGUAUUUGGAUACUCUCAAUCUUGACCCGUACAUGGAUUAAAAAGGAGUAAGAAGAAGAGAUCAUAUGCAGGCAAUGCAGACUUCGAAGUUUGUUAAUGGGUUUACCCGAAUUUCCAGCAGUCUUGCUUCCUUAUUUCCCUACUUUCCAAACUCCAAAGCAACAGAAAAUAUGCUCAUGCCAGUCCUUUCUUUUACUUUUCUUGCUAGACCUACGUACAGACCAAAGUCCGGAGCAAAAAGAAAGGCUCAAAAACUGUAGGGCGGACACAAAAUUUGCCUGAAUUUUUAGUUGAAAAAAAAAAAAUGGAAGUGAAAUGAGGUUAGGGUUCUUUAUUUUGCUUUCUUCUAAUUCAGAUUCAGAUUUCUGGAGAAUUGAAAAUUGUAUUUUAGGUGUCCGAAAUUGUAUUAUCGCAAAGGGGUUUGUAAUAAUUCAAAAUUAUAAGGUUUGGGUUAAUUAUAUCGGAGAUUAUCACCGAGAAUGGACAGACACAGCGCCGUUCAUUCAUCUGCCCCUUUAUACACGUCCAACUUUCUCUAGCUUGGCCACGUAGAAUCGAGAAGCGGAUCCAGACCCAACUAGUUAAA